UAGGGAAUCUUCCGCAAUGGACGCAAGUCUGACGGAGCAACGCCGCGUGAGUGAAGAAGGAUUUCGGUUCGUAAAACUCUGUUGUUAGAGAAGAACAGCGCAUAGAGUAACUGUUAUGCGUGUGACGGUAUCUAACCAGAAAGCCACGGCUAACUACGUGCCAGCAGCCGCGGUAAUACGUAGGUGGCAAGCGUUGUCCGAAUUUAUUGGGCGUAAAGCGAGCGCAGGCGGUCAAUUAAGUCUGAUGUGAAAGCCCCCGGCUCAACCGGGGAGGGUCAUUGGAAACUGGUUGACUUGAGUGCAGAAGAGGAGAGUGGAAUUCCAUGUGUAGCGGUGAAAUGCGUAGAUAUAUGGAGGAACACCAGUGGCGAAGGCGACUCUCUGGUCUGUAACUGACGCUGAGGUUCGAAAGCGUGGGUAGCAAACAGG
rnacentral:rRNA from 1 species